GAUGAACGCUGGCGGCGUGCCUAAUACAUGCAAGUCGAGCGAACGGACGAGAAGCUUGCUUCUCUGAUGUUAGCGGCGGACGGGUGAGUAACACGUGGAUAACCUACCUAUAAGACUGGGAUAACUUCGGAAAACCGGAGCUAAUACCGGAUAAUAUUUUGAACCGCAUGGUUCAAAAGUGAAAGACGGUCUUGCUGUCACUUAUAGAUGGAUCCGCGCUGCAUUAGCUAGUUGGUAAGGUAACGGCUUACCAAGGCAACGAUGCAUAGCCGACCUGAGAGGGUGAUCGGCCACACUGGAACUGAGACACGGUCCAGACUCCUACGGGAGGCAGCAGUAGGGAAUCUUCCGCAAUGGGCGAAAGCCUGACGGAGCAACGCCGCGUGAGUGAUGAAGGUCUUCGGAUCGUAAAACUCUGUUAUUAGGGAAGAACAUAUGUGUAAGUAACUGUGCACAUCUUGACGGUACCUAAUCAGAAAGCCACGGCUAACUACGUGCCAGCAGCCGCGGUAAUACGUAGGUGGCAAGCGUUAUCCGGAAUUAUUGGGCGUAAAGCGCGCGUAGGCGGUUUUUUAAGUCUGAUGUGAAAGCCCACGGCUCAACCGUGGAGGGUCAUUGGAAACUGGAAAACUUGAGUGCAGAAGAGGAAAGUGGAAUUCCAUGUGUAGCGGUGAAAUGCGCAGAGAUAUGGAGGAACACCAGUGGCGAAGGCGACUUUCUGGUCUGUAACUGACGCUGAUGUGCGAAAGCGUGGGGAUCAAACAGGAUUAGAUACCCUGGUAGUCCACGCCGUAAACGAUGAGUGCUAAGUGUUAGGGGGUUUCCGCCCCUUAGUGCUGCAGCUAACGCAUUAAGCACUCCGCCUGGGGAGUACGACCGCAAGGUUGAAACUCAAAGGAAUUGACGGGGACCCGCACAAGCGGUGGAGCAUGUGGUUUAAUUCGAAGCAACGCGAAGAACCUUACCAAAUCUUGACAUCCUUUGACAACUCUAGAGAUAGAGCUUUCCCCUUCGGGGGACAAAGUGACAGGUGGUGCAUGGUUGUCGUCAGCUCGUGUCGUGAGAUGUUGGGUUAAGUCCCGCAACGAGCGCAACCCUUAAGCUUAGUUGCCAUCAUUAAGUUGGGCACUCUAAGUUGACUGCCGGUGACAAACCGGAGGAAGGUGGGGAUGACGUCAAAUCAUCAUGCCCCUUAUGAUUUGGGCUACACACGUGCUACAAUGGACAAUACAAAGGGCAGCGAAACCGUGAGGUCAAGCAAAUCCCAUAAAGUUGUUCUCAGUUCGGAUUGUAGUCUGCAACUCGACUACAUGAAGCUGGAAUCGCUAGUAAUCGUAGAUCAGCAUGCUACGGUGAAUACGUUCCCGGGUCU
rnacentral:rRNA from 1 species